rnacentral:pre_miRNA from 1 species
AGCUGGAAGGCACACAGUGCAUUUGAUAAGCUGACACAGGACAGGAUUUCUUUUCACUGUUGUGUCAGUAUAUCAAACUCAUGGGUGGU